AAAACAGGAGCGUGUGAUUGGGGUUUACAGUGUUUUCUCUCGCUCUCUCUGUUUCUAGGGAAUUCGGGCUGUGUUUAGCUGCUGGAAUAUCGUAGAAUUGGUUUUCAGAGAAGUUCCUCGACUCCUGAGGCGAAACAUAAAGGGAUGGGAGUGGUGUGGGAAGUGAUCGUGUGGGGAAAAAAAAGUUUCGAGCCCGUUUCGCAUUUGUGGAGACAGAGUUUUUGGUGUGACCACUCUUUUGUGGGAAACCCAAACCAAGGAGAACUCAGGAGAAUUGGCGCUCUUCGGUCCUGGAGGUUCCGCAGCUAACAUCCCGGCUUGACCAACUAUCGAGGCCGCAAAUUAAUAGGGCACCUCCUGGGAGGAAAACGCCCAUCCUGACUUCUCAACUGUGACAGUUUGCUCUGUCGCCCAGGAUGGAGUGCAGUGCAGUGGCGCGAUCCUGCAACCUCCGCCUCUCGAGUUCAAGCGAUUCUCCUGCCUCAGCCUCCCGAGUAGCUGGGAUUACAGACGCGCGCCACCCCACCCAGAUGAUCUUUUUAAAUGCAAAAUGCCAUCGACGCAGAAAAUCAAAGAAUCAGCUUAAGUUCCAGAAAAAAGAAAAACCAACCAAAUGAACAAUAAGACAACAACAACAACAACAAAAAAGGCCUUUUGGGAUUUUGGAUGAUAUUGCAUCAAAUCCAUACAUUAACCUGAGAGACGAGCGACUUCUUCAACAUUGAGCCUUCCAAUCAUGAUUUUCAAUUCAUUUAGGUCUUCUGUAAUGUUUCUUAAUAUAAUUGUAUUUGUUGCUAUGCAGAAGUUUCACUGAUCUUUUAUUAUAUCUCUAUAUAUAUUUGAUAUUUCUGACACUAUUGUAAAUAGUAUCUUUUUAAUAUUUCAUUUUCCUUUUUUGUUGCUUAAAUAUAUAUAAAAUAAGCUAAUUUUCCAAACUAAUUUUUAUAUCCAGCAACCCUGCUAAAAUUUCUUAUCCAAUAAAAAUAUAAAUGUA
rnacentral:lncRNA from 1 species